rnacentral:lncRNA from 1 species
AGGAAACAUAGCCUGGCUCUGUGAAGGAAUACUGCUGUGACCGCAAAACUGUUUCUGUAGAAUUUUCUCCGGUGUGGUCAUCCUGCCUUCAGCUUCAGGAAAAAGAGGACCUUAGAACUGAAGGAGCAAGAUUCCAACAUCACACUGUUUUUGUUAGCUGUGUGUGUGUGUUUCCUGUGUAUCCAAAAGACAGAGGAGAUGAAAAAGCAAAAGAAAAGAAACGAGGAAUCAGAUUGGAAAGAAGGUUUCUCCAGGACGUCACCUGUAUGAGGUACACAGUGUGAUGACACACUCUGUGCUUUUCCUACUUGUGUCCACGCCAUACCUGCCAGCAGCCUGCUCUCCCGGCCAUGCUGCGGUUCACAAAAGUCCAGCAUUUGGCUAGCUUCCUGGGGGAAUGAAUCUUUCAGAGCCAAACUAAUGCUAUGCAUGCAGCUUAUGAUUUUUUUUUUUUUGUCUUCAACAAAGUGAAUACUUACUUUUUUUUUGCUCUUUAAAUUGUCAUCCAUUAUAUUCAUCAACACAGAGAGAUGGAACAUUUGGCAAAAUUAUUUUAAGUAGCACUCCAACCUGUGAUCGUAAUUUCAAAUCAAGGAAUUUGCUGAGCAGCUGUGGGGAAGAACAAAAGGCCUGAGAGUGAUUUAGGGCCUGGGGGAGGGGAGGCGGUGGAGUUGAAGGCCCCAGCCGGUAGCAGAAACAGCUGGGGAGGUAGGUUGUGCACACCCCGUGGGGGAGCCGGCCUUCUCAGCCCUGCCAUCCCAUCCACACGUGCCUCAUCAGAGAGUUUUCGUCUCCUGAACAUACCACAUGCAGCACUUUAAAAUAGAUAAACUAAGAGGAUUCAGAUUCAGUUUGAUACCCUCGCUGAGAGCUUCGGCUCGGGAGUUGGACAGGCCUGGCCUUGAAUCCUGGCUCUGCCUCUCACCAGCCUCAGUUGCAUCAUCUGUAAAAUGGGGCUAAUGUAGCAAUCACUUCGCAGAUAUUACUAUGAGGUUGAGUGUUUAUUUGACCCAGUCACUGGCAUAGAACAAGUGUUCAAAAUACUAUUAUUAUCACCAAUAUGCAGAAAUGUUCAAUGUAUACACUCGGUUUUUGCAACCAAUUUAUUCAAUGAACAUCUAUUGAGCACCUGUUAUGUGUUAGGUGCAGGGCUGGGUGUUGUGUGGGUACAAACACAUAAAGCAUAGGAAUUAAUAUGCUAUUAGAUAAACUAAAAAGACUUCUAUUGACUUAAAAAGUAAUAAUGACUUCUAAGCAUAUUUAAGUAAUUUACGAAAGAGCCUUUCUUUUUUUUAUUUUUGAGAUGGAGUCUUGCUCUGUCUCUCAGGCUGGAGUGUAAUGGUGCUAUCUCAGCUCACUGCAACCUCUGCCUCCCGGGUUCAAGCAAUUCUUGUGCCUCAGCCUCCAGAGUAGCUGGGUUUAUAGGCGCGUGCCACGACGCCCAGCUAAUUUCUGUGUUUUUAGUAGAAACGGGGUUUCACCAUGUUGCUCAGGCUAUCUUGAACUCAUGACCUCAGGUGAUCCACCUGCCUCGGCCUCCCAAAGUGCUGGGAUUACAGGUGUGAGCCAUUGCACCCGGUCAAAAGAGGCUUUCUUAACAGAUGGUCUAUUAGAAGCAAUUUGAAAAGAAAAUAUAGAGUUGAAAAAAAUAAAAGGGAAGCUGCAUUCUUUUUAAUUGUUUUUGAACUUGUUGCUUUUCAACACAGCUAUUAUCUAAAUUAACUUAAUUUCUUAAAAUAAGCCCUGCUUGAUACCCGGGAACCUUCAAUCAACUAAUUUGCAGAUAAUCAGACCUAUUUACAAAUAGUCUGGUUUGUCUGAGUGACUUUCAGUGACACAUGCAUACUCAGAAAGGGUAUCAUUUGCCAGGGAUUAGUCAGUUCUGCUGAAUUACAGUCUUCAGAAUGAGAAGUCAUCUAGUUCAACCUUUCAUCCUUUUAAUAGAAUUUCUGGUGGAUAACAGCUGAGCUUCUCCUCCGACUCUGCUAGGAAUGGAGAACUUACUACUUCAAAACGUAGAUGCUGCCUGGGUUGAGCAGCUCUAAAUGUUCAAGAUGGAAUCAUUAAUAGGAAACUAAUUGAAAAGAAUUUGCAUAGCACGUCUCAAGGACAAAAAUCCCUUCUGUUGUUUUUUCCUUUUGUCUUGGUCUGCAUCUCUGUCAUUUGGUGGUGUUUGGACUGCCUGUCUGUCUUCCCUUUUUACUCCGAGCGGCGGCCUGCCCUCUGCCCCCUGCCCCCAGGGGAACAACAAUGGCCCUGAUCACAAUUGGGUGGCCAAGCAUAUCAUGCCGUGGAAGUUUGGAGCCAACACUCAGUUCCAGUUGCUCCUCUCCUUAUUCUCUAGGGUGGCUCCACUAGGUUCUGCUUUCUCAGAAAACAGCAGUGAACUUUGUUCAGCCGAAACCCUAUUUCCCAAGCUGAUACUUGCUCACUGGCCUCCCCUCCUCCAGCUGCUCCCAACUGCUGACCACUUCUUGAGCGCACUGCUAGCUGCUUCUGCUGUUCCAGCACUUCCUGGAAGGCAGCUGCAAGCAGCCGAGGCAGAUGGAGCCCAAGCCCUGUUGCUUGUGGUCUUGGCUUACUGAGCCUGAAUCCACGACCGGAUCAUUAGAAAAGGGACGGUGUGUGUGCCUACCUUUGAAGCCAGUAGGCCAAAAGAAGGGUGAGCAGGACAGCGCCAUAACACCUAGAGUUACUGUGUUUGGUUCACACUUCUGGUUUCCUGCAGAAUUGCUAGAAUUUUUAAAAAAAGGAAGCAGCAAGUUGAGAGCAACUAAAGUAAAAAGAGAAAAGUGAUACAAAGGGAAAGGUUUAUUUUUGGAGCUCUUAGAUUCUGAAACUCCUUCUGACUCUUUUAUCCUUUUACCUCUCCCUUUCUCCUCACUGGGCUCUUUGUCCUCAUGGGGACUGUGCAUCUCUGGUCUCACUCUAGCUCUGGGUCCCUUAGGCUCUUCUGGUUUUCUGGCUCCUGGAGUGAGCCCUUUCAAUGAGGCCCUCCCUCAAUUUCCCAUCCCUCUUGUUCUUCUGCCAUCCAGACUCAUCACAGCCCAAAUCUGAGACCAGCUGGCUGCACCGCUGGCUACUCAGAGCGGCUGGAGACAGCCAUGCCCUGGGGCGACUUGUUCCAUGGUGAUCUGACUGGUUCAUGCAGGGGUCUCGGACCUCACGGACCUCAUCAGGAGCAUCAAAUGGGGUUUUUUUUGGCCGGAAUGAUAUUUAAAACAAUUUGAUUUAGUUAUGAGCAUUUAAGAAAUAGGAGGUCACCAGAAAAUCCAGAGUUUUAGCUCGGCAAGCAGAGAUGGAGAGCUGGCGGUACCCGGUCUUUACCCAUUCUGGAAGGACCACUGGCUGGAGCUGAGAGGCAGUGGCUUCUCUGACAUGGGGCAUACACUCCAUUUUGCUACCUUCUCUGCAACAACAGAGAGUGUCUUCCUGGACCCCAAACUGAGAAUCAGAUGCCUUUAAUCAACGGGCUUGCUUCCUCCCACUCCCCAGACAACCUGAUUCAUGAGAUGCCUGCCUGUUCCCCGUGGGCAUCUGAGUUUGCAGCCCAUGCUCAGUAGAGUUUAUUCGGCAAUCCUUUUCCUGACCUAUAGCAGACUCCUAGCCCACCACAUUUCUAAUGCAGCUGUUGCAAGUCUUGUCCAGACCUUUCAGACCCUUGAUCUCUCCGGGAGAUUGUGCCUCAUACAUUAUUGAAAAGAUUGAGGCCACACAACAUGUGCUCUAAUGCCUCAGCUUUCUGCCUUUCUGCUUCUAAGGUCUCUGUUCUCUCUCCAUUCCGUCCUCCUUCCCUCCUUUCUGACUCUCUUUUUCUUUUUUUCAUCACUUUUAAAAAUUGUAAAAUAGAAUGUACGUACAGAAAAAGGAGGCCGAGGCAGGAGAAUCACUUGAACCUGGGAGACAGAGGUUGCAGUGAGGCGAGAUCACGCAUUGCACUCCAGCCUGGGCAAUAAGAGUGAAACUCUGUCUCAACAAAAAAGAAAAACAAAAAAGAACCAAAAAAAACCCCCCAAAACCAAAGAUAUACAGUUCAGUGAUUUAUCACAAAGUCAACACCAGUGUCAUUAUCAGCCUGAUCGAGAACUAGAACUCUGCCCUCCCUCACCCUGGACGUACUCUUCAUUCCCCCGUCCACCUCUACCCUCCCUCCCUAUCAGAGGCGACCAUUAUCCUGACUUUUUAUGUAAAGCAUCUUUGUUUAUCUUUACCACCUAAAUAUAUAUAUAAACAGAUGUUUAUAGCAGUUUUAUUCAUAACUGUAAAAACUUGAAAGCAACCAAGAUGUCCUUUAGUAGGUGAAUAGAUAAUAAACUGGGAUACAUUCAGGCAAUGCACCAUUAUUCAGUCCUCAAAAGAAAUGAGCUAUCAAGCCAUGACAUGAUAUGGAAGAACUUUAAAUGCAUAUUACUAAGUGAAAGAAGACAGUCUGAAAAGACUAUAUGCUGUGUGAUUCCAACUAUAUGUCAUUGUGGAAAAGGCAAAACUGCAGAGGCAGUAAAAGGAUCAGUAAUUGGCCGGGCGCAGUGGCUUACAUCUGUAAUCCAAGCACUUGGGGAGGCUGAGGCGGGCGGACCAUGAGGUCAGGAGAUCCAGGCCAUCCUGGCUAACACGGUGAAACUCCGUCUCUACUAAAAAUUCAAAAAAUUAGCUAGGCGUGGUGGCAUGCGCCUGUAGUCCCAGUUACUCGGGAGGCUGAGGCAGGAGAAUCGCUUGAACUCGAGAGGCGGAGGUUUCAGUGAGCCAAGAUGGCGCCACUGCACUCCAGCCUGGGCAACAGAGCAAGACUCCGUCUCACACACACAAAAAAAGAAUCAGUAAUUGCCAGGGAUUAGGGGGAGGGAGGGAUCAAACAGUGCAGCACAGAGGGUUUUUAGCACAGUGAACUACUCUGUAUGAUACUAUCAUGAUGGGCACCUGUCAUUAAACAUUUGUCAAAACUUGUAGAAUGUACAAGACCAAGAGAGAACCCUAAUGUGAACUAUGGAUCCUGGGCGAUACCGAUGUGCCAGUGUAGGCUCAUGGAUUGUAACAAACACACAGCCCAGGUGGGGGAUGUUGACAGUGGGGAAGGCUGUGCUAUGUGGGGGGCAGAGGGUAUAUGAGAUAUCUCUGUACCUUCUGUUCAAUUUUGCUGUGAACCUAAAACUGCUCUAAAAAAAUAAAAUCUUAAAAAAAAGGAAAAAAGUCUCUUUAAAUGCUAAGAUUUAGUUUUUGGCUAAACUAAACUUUAGCAUUUCAAUGCUAAAGGCUGUUUUUUUUUUUUUAACUUUAUAUAAAUGUAACUAAACAGUGUGUAUUCUUUCAUGCGCCGCACUUUUUACUCAACAUUAUACUUGUGAAAAUCAUCCAGGUUGUCAUGUGUAGGUGUAGUUUGCAGUUUUUAUCAGUGGAUAGUAUUACAUUAAAGAAAUGGCAUAAUUUGUCUGUCUAUUCUACUCUUGACGGACAUUUAGGUUGUUUCCAGUCUAGGGCUAUUAUAAAUGACGCUUCUGUGAUCAUCCUUGCUCUUGUGUGCUGGUGGAGGCAUAUGUGUGUUUCUGAGGGUAUUACUCUGAGCCUGGAGUCUUCUUUGUGGAAAGGUUUAAAUUAUCAAUUCAGUUUAUUGAAUGGUUAUUGGGUUAGUUAAGAUUUACAUACUUUCUUGUGUCCAUUUUUGAUAAAUUUUCUUUUUAAGGGAUUCACCAAUUUAUCUAAAUUUGCAAAAUGUUUUGGC